GGGGGGGGCAAGCGUUGUUCGGAAUUACUGGGCGUAAAGGGCUCGUAGGCGGCCAACUAAGUCAGACGUGAAAUCCCUCGGCUUAACCGGGGAACUGCAUCUGAUACUGGAUGGCUCGAGAUUGGGAGAGGGAUGCGGAAUUCCAGGUGUAGCGGUGAAAUGCGUAGAUAUCUGGAGGAACACCGGUGGCGAAGGCGGCAUCCUGGACCAACACUGACGCUGAGGAGCGAAAGCCAGGGGAGCAAACGGGAUUAGAUACCCCGGUAGUCCUGGCCCUAAACGAUGAAUGCUUGGUGUGGCGGGUAUCGAUCCCUGCUGUGCCGAAGCUAACGCAUUAAGCAUUCCGCCUGGGGAGUACGGUCGCAAGGCUGAA
rnacentral:rRNA from 1 species